GAAAUGCGAUAAGUAAUGUGAAUUGCAGAAUUCAGUGAAUCAUCGAAUCUUUGAACGCACCUUGCGCUCCUUGGUAUUCCGAGGAGCAUGCCUGUUUGAGUGUCAUGGAAUUCUCAACUCUAUUUGCUUUUGUGAAUAGAGCUUGGAUUUGGAUGUUUAUUGCUGGUACUUGUGAUCGGCUCCUCUUGAAUGCAUUAGCUCGAACCUUUGCGGAUCAGCUAUCGGUGUGAUAAUUGUCUACGCCGUUGCAGUGAAGCAUAUCAAUGGGCUCGGCUUCCAAUCGUCCUUUACUGGACAAUGACUUUGACCUUUGACCUCAAAUCAGGUAGGAUUACCCGCUGAACUUAAGC
rnacentral:misc_RNA from 1 species